rnacentral:rRNA from 1 species
AGUGAACGCUGGCGGCGUGCCUAACACAUGCAAGUCGAACGAUGAUGGAGAGCUUGCUCUCCUGAUUAGUGGCGCACGGGUGAGUAUACCAUAGAUAAUGUACCUCUUAGUUCGGGAUAGCCACUGGAAACGGUGAUUAAUACCGGAUACUCCUUCUUGUCUUAAGGCACGUCGGGAAAGUUUUUUCGCUAAGAGAUCAGUCUAUGUCCUAUCAGCUAGUUGGUGAGGUAAUGGCUCACCAAGGCAAUGACGGGUAUCUGGUUUGAGAGGAUGAUCAGACACACUGGAACUGAGACACGGUCCAGACUCCUACGGGAGGCAGCAGUGAGGAAUAUUGCACAAUGGAGGAAACUCUGAUGCAGCAACGCCGCGUGGAGGAUGACGCAUUUCGGUGUGUAAACUCCUUUUAAGAGGGAAGAUAAUGACGGUACCUCUUGGAUAAGCACCGGCUAACUCCGUGCCAGCAGCCGCCGCCG